GGAAGAGCAACGUCCCCGGUGGGGCGGCUGGACUUCAAAUCCAGAUGGGGCUGCCAGCAGUCCCGGGCAGGUUCGACUCCUGUGCUCUUCCGCCA
rnacentral:tRNA from 1 species